GCACUCCUUUGGCUGUUCAUGAAGGGCCGGCAGCCCAGGGUCCAGACGGCGUUGAACACCGUGUCUGCGACAGAUUCGCAAGCUGCAGAGAAGGAAGAGAUCGGGCAGACCUCACUAGCUGCGGAAAAAUCAAGAGAAUAGUCUUACAGCCAGAACAGCCAAGUGCUGCGUGCUUAGCUGAAGAUGGAUGUGGCAAUCACAGGUAAAACAUUUCUCCAGAAGGGCACGGGGUGCUCUCAGGGAGCAGGCAGGCAGUUGUGCUGCUCUGUGGCGAUGCUCUGACCCCCUACCCGGAGCGCGGGGACAAGGGCAGGGAGAGCCCUAACCUCGGGAUGCGUCCAAGAGCGACGACUUCUCCAAGACUUGGUGGUUUCAGCGCGUGCCCAGUCCCCUGCCCCGCCUGCACUCCUCCUGCCCCGCUCUCCCUGAGGUGUCACCCCCCCCCUUCGUCCUGCCCCCGGGGGCCAACCAAACUCUUCCUUUUUGCUCCAAGAAGGAGUCGAAGUAGCUGUUAACCGUUUCGAAGCUGUCCCGGAUGGCCCCGAUGCCCCACUCUGAGUAGGAUGCCU